rnacentral:rRNA from 1 species
CGAACGGAAAGGCCCUGCUUGCAGGGUACUCGAGUGGCGAACGGGUGAGUAACACGUGGGUGAUCUGCCCUGCACUUCGGGAUAAGCUUGGGAAACUGGGUCUAAUACCGGAUAGGAACCAUCUUUGGUGUGGUGGUUGGAAAGUUUUUUCGGUGUAGGAUGAGCUCGCGGCCUAUCAGCUUGUUGGUGGGGUAAUGGCCUACCAAGGCGGCGACGGGUAGCCGGCCUGAGAGGGUGUACGGCCACAUUGGGACUGAGACACGGCCCAGACUCCUACGGGAGGCAGCAGUGGGGAAUAUUGCACAAUGGGCGCAAGCCUGAUGCAGCGACGCCGCGUGGGGGAUGAAGGCCUUCGGGUUGUAAACUCCUUUCGCUAGGGACGAAGCUUUUUGUGACGGUACCUAGAUAAGAAGCACCGGCUAACUACGUGCCAGCAGCCGCGGUAAUACGUAGGGUGCGAGCGUUGUCCGGAAUUACUGGGCGUAAAGGGCUCGUAGGUGGUUUGUCGCGUCGUCUGUGAAAUUCUGGGGCUUAACUCCGGGCGUGCAGGCGAUACGGGCAUAACUUGAGUGCUGUAGGGGUAACUGGAAUUCCUGGUGUAGCGGUGAAAUGCGCAGAUAUCAGGAGGAACACCGAUGGCGAAGGCAGGUUACUGGGCAGUUACUGACGCUGAGGAGCGAAAG